rnacentral:rRNA from 1 species
AUUGAACGCUGGCGGCAGGCCUAACACAUGCAAGUCGAACGAGUGGCGGACGGGUGAGUAAUGUCGGGGAAACUGCCUGAUGGAGGGGGAUAACUACUGGGAAAGGUAGCUAAUACCGCAUCAAUACGAUGUGCCCAGAUGGGAUUAGCUAGUUGGUGGGGGAACGGCGGACCAAGGCGACGAUCCAUAGCUGGUCUGAGAGGAUGACCAGCCACACUGGAACUGAGACACGGUACAGACUCCUACGGGAGGCAGCAGUGGGGAAUAUUGCACAAUGGGCGCAAGCCUGAUGCAGCCAUGACGCGUGUAUGAAGAAGGCCUUCGGUUUGUAAAGUACUUUCAGCGGGGAGGCGUUACCCGCAGAAGAAGCACCGGCUAACUCCGUGCCAGCAGCCGCGGUAAUAC